rnacentral:rRNA from 1 species
CUACGGGUGGCAGCAGUGAGGAAUAUUGCACAAUGGGGGAAACCCUGAUGCAGCAACGCCGCGUGGAGGAUGACGCAUUUCGGUGUGUAAACUCCUUUUAUAUGUCAAGAAAAUGACGGUAGCAUAUGAAUAAGCACCGGCUAACUCCGUGCCAGCAGCCGCGGUAAUACGGAGGGUGCAAGCGUUACUCGGAAUCACUGGGCGUAAAGGAGGCGUAGGCGGGUUGGUAAGUCAGGUGUGAAAUCCUACAGCUUAACUGUAGAACUGCACUUGAAACUACCAACCUAGAGUAUGGGAGGGGGAGAUGGAAUUAGUGGUGUAGGGGUAAAAUCCGUAGAUAUCACUAGGAAUACCGAAAGCGAAGGCGAUCUCCUGGAACAUAACUGACGCUAAGGCGUGAAAGCGUGGGGAGCAAACAGGAUUAGAUACCCUAGUAGUC